CUCGAGUUGGGGCUCCUUAUCCCGAUAUCCACGGCAGGAACGGGGGAACCACGAAUUGGCCCGCAAGCGCUGCGGGCCUCAGGGGUGAAGCCUGCGAAAGCAGGCCGGGCUUCUCCAGUCCGAACCCGACAGCUCACCUCGGCAGCCCAAUCAAGGAGAAAGA
rnacentral:sRNA from 2 species